UACGAGGGAAUUGGAAAGUCGGAAUUAAAUCAGUACUUGUUGAAAAUGUAAUGGCAUUUUCUACGAAAUGACGUGUGAGCUUUUUUUUUUGUCGUGGGACAAUUAUAAAUGAUGUGCAUAAGUCAUGACUGGGAUAUGUCUGAUAAAUUAGCCGAAUGGAAAUGAAACGGAACUGUAAAAAUCUAGUGAAUAGCGAGUGGAAGGUUUAAUCUGCUUUCGCAGAAUCGAAAAUAACAAUCAGGAAUGGAUCUUGAGGUUCAAGCGAUUUAUUUCGUCUCUGUGCUAUCAAUCGCAUGUGUUGACGUACUUAAUGUGUUUUUUUUUUCUUGAUUGCUCAAUGUGGGAGUGGAAGUAUGUACUCUUCUGAUUAUCCCAUGAAAAAGCAGUGAGCACUGGAAUUUUUUAUCGCUAUCGCGGCCGCACAUGGGCUCCGAUGUUUGCCCUCGAGAUCAUCAGCUGUUCAAUACCCUGAUGCCUUAAUAAAUGACAGCGGGGGAACGACGGGAAUUUCAAUUUCAAUCUUCAAUUUUAUCGGAAGAACUAGAUAUUACAAAAAUCAAAUCCCUACGAAUGUGUGAAAAAUUGAAAAAACAAUUAAUAAACGAUUUUUUUUUCCCCACAAAAUGUCAUAAUUUCGACAAAUAAUUUCCCCUUCACUCUCAAUUCUAAAAAAAAAUCAGUGUAAGUCCAUUAUUUAAUGACUAAAUUAUCGAAAGGAGAGCAGUCGAAAAAUUUAAUUAGCUGUUUAUCUAUAAAAUUGCGCAACUCGUUGGAUUUUCCCUGAGUGUCAAAUACUAAUUCAGAUGUGUUUAUAUUUGUGAUCAAACAAUGAGACGACUGUUUUCGGUGAAUAUAGAGUUUCCUCGUUCUUUAAUUCCCCGUCUGUUAUCGCAUGCCCGAGUGUCAAGACAAUCGCUUUGACAGUCUUCCCUCGAAUCAGAUAGUGUCAGCGUGACAUAAAUUGGGGACAAUCCAGAGGCCCAUCACGGGAAAGAGGAAAUCGUUUUCAUCGAAGACGGGUGACCUCAACGUCGGGGAUACGUCAAGGAGAUUUAUUCUCCAUCGAGAACUGCUGUGCGAUGAUCGAGAUGAAGAGAAUAAAUUCUCUGUGGCCACAAUGGCUUUCCACACUAGCAGUGACAGUAUCUCUCCUGCAAAUUGGCUGCAUCUGCACGUGGAGUUCUCCAUACAUCCCAAAAUUGACCUCAAAAAAUUCAACUCUUCCUAUGACCCUGAACGAGGCAUCCUGGAUCGCAUCAAUAAUGAACGUGGGGCGAACAUUGGGAGCUGUAUUCGGAGGUGGAUCAGUUUACAUAUUCGGCAGCAAAACGAGUCUUCUGAUCACAUGCCUACCGACUGCUGCCUGCUGGAUUCUCACAGCCCUAGCUCAAUCGAUUGUCUGGUUAUUCCUGGGAAGAGUCCUAGCUGGAAUCGGCAUGGGUAUGGCCUUCAGCUGUUUUCCAUUGUACAUCGGUGAGAUAGCGGAUCCGAGGAUCAGAGGAUCGCUGAUAAGCGCAGCGAUGAUCGGCAUCCCCACGGGAAGUCUCUUGACCAGUAUAAUUGGAGCUCAUCUGGAUCUCGAGACAUCGAGUAUCAUCUUCCUGGUGUUGUCCUUGAUAGCGAUCGUCAUGUUCCUCUGUCUCCCGGAAUCCCCACACCAUCUGAUGCGUGGGGAUGUCCAAAGGGUGAAAGCUGCCAUCGCCUGGUACGACAGGGGCUGCGACGUCGACAGGGUCUACUCGUCGUUGAAGACGUACGUAGAGACCUCCAACUCUCAGGGCUUCCUCGAGAAGACCCGAGAGUUCAAACGAGUCGAACUGAGAAAAGCUCUCUACAUCGUUCUCAUGCUCUUCAUGUACAUGCAGAUGAGCGGACUCACGACGAUCGUCUUCUACAUGGAGAUGAUCCUCCGUGACGCUAAAUCCACGAUAAUUGAUCCAUCGAUGACUGUCAUCAUGGUGUCAGCUGUAACUGUCAUUGCCAUCGGUAUCUCUACGUAUCUCAUUGAAUUGCUCGGACGUCGUGGUCUCCUCAUCGUCUCGAGUGUUGGAACGGCAAUUGGUCUUGCCGUUCUUGAAAUUCAUUUUACAUUUCUUGAUAAUGGCCAUGAUCCAAUAAAACUCCAAGCAUUGCCAAUAGCUUCACUCGUUAUUUUUCAGUUGAGUGCAUUCACCGGAAUGAUGACUGUACCAAGUACAGUAUUGAGCGAGAUAUUUCCACCAGCUAUAAAGUGCGUGGCUGCUUGUGCUGCUAGUGUUGUCGGUGCUUUAUUCGCAUUUAUUACCACUAAGACAUUUCAACCCCUCGUUGACGUUAUCGGACAAAAGUACGUCUACUGGAUUUAUAUCGUCAGUAUUUUGACUGCCGUACCAUUUGCCAUCUUAUGGAUGCCCGAAACAAAAGGCAAAUCCUUGCAGCAGAUUCAGGAAGAAAUAACAAUGAAUAAGUGAAUACGCGAUGAUCGGUAAUUACAGUGUAUCCAUUCGAUCAUGAAUGAUAACCGUUUGCCAUUGAUUUUAGUCAGACGCUCUCAUUCAUUUUAAAAUUUUUUUUUUUCUCUCGGGGACUAAUCGGUGCAAUUGACAAUAACGCAAUCAAUUUUUUUUUUCGUGCCACAUUUGUUUGAGAGAUUCGCCGGAGAGUUGGAGAAGUUAAUUGUGGAAGGGUAAUUGCACUUCGUUGAGAUUUAGAAUGUACCAUCGGCAAUUGAAUUUACUUUCUUUACGGCAUUGGAGUAACGAGAUUCAGACGAAACUAGCGGAAUUGCAAUUCGAUUUUUAAAGAGUAAAGAUACGUUUCAUUUUUUAUUCCACCGUUCACUUAAUGUCCGCGCAAUGUUUACAAAUCUUUCAUCAAGACAGAAUAAUUAAUUACAAUAGCAUCAAAAGGGCGAUAACCGUCACUCUUUUAUCUCAAAAAAUAAACGAAUGCCAAUGGCAAUUGCAAUUGCGCAACGAUAAAUUCACAAGCGUCAUACUCGCGAUCUCAGAUUAUUUUGUUGGAAUGAAAAAAUGGAAUUUCAUGGACAUGUGGAAAAGGGGAUAAAUUCCUGAUUGUGAAAUAGCAAGAUGCAUUCGUCAAUGAUAUGCAUUGAAUGCGGUCAAAUUUUCCAAUCUGCCAUAGACAGUAGGAAAGUUCAAACCAUGCGUCAUGGCUGAGUUGAGCUGAAAUACGACAUUGGUUGGUGGCCAAAUCGUGUAUAUACAAGGAUAGAGGAUUGCUGUGACCUAAAUUUUCUAGGAGUUACUUCCGGUAAUCCACAACGGCUCUUAUCGAUCUA